UACGUAGGCAGCGAGCGUUGUUCGGAGUUACUGGGCGUAAAGCGUGCGUAGGCGGUGUCCUAAGUCUGUUGUGAAAUCUCCCGGCUCAACUGGGAGGGUGCGGCGGAAACUGGGAGGCUAGAGUACGGGAGAGGUAAGCGGAAUUCCUGGUGUAGCGGUGAAAUGCGUAGAUAUCAGGAGGAACACCUGUGGCGAAAGCGGCUCACUGGACCACAACUGACGCUGAGGCGCGAAAGCUAGGGGAGCAAACAGG
rnacentral:rRNA from 1 species